rnacentral:ribozyme from 1 species
UCAACGUCUCGUAGUUCAAAUGGCACCCCUCCCCAGCUCUUACUCAAUACGUACGCGACGUACAAAACUGUAACUUUUCGCCUAGAUAUCCAUGCUUGGGUACACGGGGAAACAUACCCCCUUGGGCGGAUGGGCGGCAAGGCCGAAUUGAGAAGG